AGAGUUUGAUCCUGGCUCAGAUUGAACGCUGGCGGCAGGCCUAACACAUGCAAGUCGAACGGUAACAGGAAGAAGCUUGCUUCUUUGCUGACGAGUGGCGGACGGGUGAGUAAUGUCUGGGAAACUGCCUGAUGGAGGGGGAUAACUACUGGAAACGGUAGCUAAUACCGCAUAACGUCGCAAGACCAAAGAGGGGGGACCUUCGGGCCUCUUGCCAUCGGAUGUGCCCAGAUGGGAUUAGCUAGUAGGUGGGGUAACGGCUCACCUAGGCGACGAUCCCUAGCUGGUCUGAGAGGAUGACCAGCCACACUGGAACUGAGACACGGUCCAGACUCCUACGGGAGGCAGCAGUGGGGAAUAUUGCACAAUGGGCGCAAGCCUGAUGCAGCCAUGCCGCGUGUAUGAAGAAGGCCUUCGGGUUGUAAAGUACUUUCAGCGGGGAGGAAGGGAGUAAAGUUAAUACCUUUGCUCAUUGACGUUACCCGCAGAAGAAGCACCGGCUAACUCCGUGCCAGCAGCCGCGGUAAUACGGAGGGUGCAAGCGUUAAUCGGAAUUACUGGGCGUAAAGCGCACGCAGGCGCUUUGUUAAGUCAGAUGUGAAAUCCCCGGGCUCAACCUGGGAACUGCAUCUGAUACUGGCAAGCUUGAGUCUCGUAGAGGGGGGUAGAAUUCCAGGUGUAGCGGUGAAAUGCGUAGAGAUCUGGAGGAAUACCGGUGGCGCCCGGCGGCCCCCUGGACGAAGACUGACGCUCAGGUGCGAAAGCGUGGGGAGCAAACAGGAUUCCUACCCUGGUAGUCCACGCCGUAAA
rnacentral:rRNA from 1 species